CCUACGAGAGGCAGCAGUGAGGAAUAUUGGUCAAUGGACGCAAGUCUGAACCAGCCAUGCCGCGUGCAGGAAGACGGCUCUAUGAGUUGUAAACUGCUUUUGUACGAGGGUAAACGCAGAUACGCGUAUCUGUCUGACAGUAUCGUACGAAUAAGGAUCGGCUAACUCCGUGCCAGCAGCCGCGGUAAUACGGAGUAUUCAAGCGUUAUCCGGAUUUAUUGGGUUUAAGGGUGCGUAGGCGGUCGGAUAAGUUAGGGGUGAAAUCCCGAGGCUCAACUUCGGAAUUGCCUCUGAUACGGUUCGGCUAGAGAGUAGUUGCGGUAGGCGGAAUGUAUGGUGUAGCGGUGAAAUGCUUAGAGAUCAUACAGAACACCGAUUGCGAAGGCAGCUUACCAAGCUACUUCUGACGUUGAGGCACGAAAGCGUGGGGAGCAAACAGGAUUAGAUACCCCUGUAGUC
rnacentral:rRNA from 1 species